GGAGUCGUAGCUCAGUUGGUUAGAGCGUCGCAUUCACAUUGCGAAGGCCGCUGGUUCGAGUCCAGCCGACUCCA
rfam:Candidatus Woesebacteria bacterium RBG_13_36_22 RBG_13_scaffold_75068, whole genome shotgun sequence.